UACAGAGGGCGCAAGCGUUGUUCGGAUUCACUGGGCAUAAAGAGCACGUAGGCGGCUACGUAAGUUGGAUGUGAAAUCCCACGGCUCAACCGUGGAACUGCAUCCGAUACUGCGUGGCUCGAGGUCGAGAGGGGUGAGCGGAACUCCAGGUGGAACGGUGAAAUGUGUAGAUAUCUGGAGGAACACCGGUGGCGAAGGCGGCUCACUGGCUCGAAUCUGACGCUGAGGUGCGAAAGCUAGGGGAGCGAACGGG
rnacentral:rRNA from 1 species